GAGUGUGUCUCUUCGGUUCUUCAAGAACCAUUGUUUUUUUUUAAAUGAACUUAUCGGAGUUGCUCUCCGUGGCGUUCGCCCCUGACUCAUCAAUCAAUCUUCCGCAAUUGAUUGUGGCGUCUUCGCAUACCAAGGUUCUUGCCUCUUUAUAGGCAAUGGGUCGAGGUUCCACCUUUGAUUCCUUCUUUGGACGGUCCAGGAUUUGAAAUCCGAAGUAUUGAUACCGGG
rnacentral:lncRNA from 1 species